rnacentral:rRNA from 1 species
GACGAACGCUGGCGGCGUGCCUAAUACAUGCAAGUCGAGCGGGGUAGAGAGAGCUUGCUCUCAAAGCCUAGCGGCGGACGGGUGAGUAACACGUAGGCAACCUGCCUGUAAGCCUGGGAUAACUCCGGGAAACCGGAGCUAAUACCAGAUAAGCUGUAUGACCGCAUGGUCUUACACUAAAAGGAUGCGAUCCACUUACAGAUGGGCCUGCGGCGCAUUAGCUCGUUGGUGAGGUAACGGCUCACCAAGGCAACGAUGCGUAGCCGACCUGAGAGGGUGACCGGCCACACUGGGACUGAGACACGGCCCAGACUCCUACGGGAGGCAGCAGUAGGGAAUCUUCCGCAAUGGACGAAAGUCUGACGGAGCAACGCCGCGUGAGUGAUGAAGGUUUUCGGAUUGUAAAACUCUGUUGUCAGGGAAGAACAACCUAGAUUGGAUCUAGGACUGACGGUACCUGACGAGAAAGCCCCGGCUAACUACGUGCCAGCAGCCGCGGUAAUACGUAGGGGGCAAGCGUUGUCCGGAAUUAUUGGGCGUAAAGCGCGCGCAGGCGGUCCUUUAAGUCUGAUGUGAAAGUCCACGGCUCAACCGUGGGAUUGCAUUGGAAACUGGGGGACUUGAGUGCAGAAGAGGAGAGUGGAAUUCCUGGUGUAGCGGUGAAAUGCGUAGAGAUCAGGAGGAACACCAAUGGCGAAGGCAGCUCUCUGGUCUGUAACUGACGCUGAGGCGCGAAAGCGUGGGUAGCAAACAGGAUUAGAUACCCUGGUAGUCCACGCCGUAAACGAUGAGUGCUAGGUGUUAGGGGGUCCAACCCUUAGUGCCGAAGUUAACACAUUAAGCACUCCGCCUGGGGAGUACGGUCGCAAGACUG